ACUGACACUUUUCGGACUCAGCCUGCCUGCACCCAGGUGAUUAAAAGCUUUAUUGCUCACACAAAGCCUGUUUGGUGGUCUCUUCACAUGGAUGCGCAUGAAAUUUGGUGCGGUGACUCGGAUCGGGGGACCUCCCUUGGGAGAUCAAUCCCCUGUCCUCCUGUUCUUUGCUCCGUGAGAAAGAGCCACCUACGACCUCAGGUCCUCAGACCAACCAGGCCAAGAAACAUCUCACCAAUUUCAAAUCCGAUCUUCUCGGCUUAGCGGCUGAAGACUGACACUGCUCAAUCACCUUGGAAGCCCCCUAGACCAUCACGGACGCCGAGCUUCAGGGGAGAGGGAAAAUCAUUUGGGGACAGCCAACUUCUUCCUUGAGCGGUGCAGUUAUAAUCAUGCAUUGUGCCCUCUGUGAGUGCUUCUUUCUCCUUUGAAAUUCUUCAGUGGGUUCUUCAGCAUCGCCCACUCUGUUGCUGGAGACCACCCAUUGUGCCCUUGGAUGGCGUGCCCAAUAUCCUUGGCCAGCUGGCUGCAUUCCCCACUCAGCUACUGAUUGUUGAUUGUUGUGCUUCACGAACUUCCCGCUGAGCGUCCUCUCAUCCUGGGGUGGAGAGCAGGCCCAUCACGGGGCUCCCACCUGCCUGCCUGCCAUACUGUCCAUGCCAGUGCCUGAGAAACACCGCCUCUGCUCCACUUUCAGUGGGAACCAGCGUUUUGCACCCCCCUCCAUAGCCUUUUCUCUUCACUCUACCACCUGAAGCAAUUCCCACUGGGCCGCUUCUUCACCUUUAAGUUUUCCAGGAGAAGACAAGGAGAUGGAGAGACUGUCAACCUAGAACCAGUAAUGACCAGUUCCAACUUAAUUACAGAAAGGGAGAAAAGAUCAAUCAUUUAAGUUGCUUCAUCGUCUAAAUAAAAGUGUUUUGGCUGUUGAAACAUGAA
rnacentral:lncRNA from 1 species